GACGGAGAGGCUAGGGCGAGGGGCGGGAGCGGGGAAGGAGGGGCGGGGUCUCACCCCCACCCCCCCAGGCCCACCCCGGGCUGCGAGCUUGGAUUAAGCCCGGGCUGUAUGCCAAGUGAAGAACCAAAGGAACAGUCCCUGCCUUCUGGGAGCUGACACUCUAAUGGGGAAGACCGGACUUAAAAAGGAGCUAUUAGGGGCAGCUAGGUGGCGCAGUGGAUAGAGCAUUGGCCCUGGAUUCAGGAGGACCUGAGUUCAAAUCCAGCCUCGGACACUAGCUGUGUGACCCUGGGCAAGUCAUUUAACCACAAUUGCCUCACCAAAAAAAAGGGGGGGGGAGCUAUUGAAGGAGAGGUAGCCUAAGGGUUGGUCAUUGAACCCUCCCCGACUUCAUUGGACGAAUGGGGAAACUGAGGCACAGGCCCCCGAAAUGAGUGGCCAAGGAUCACACAGCCUGGGGAGGGUUUGAACCCUGCUCAUCCGUCCUCCAAGUCACUAACCUCUGAUUCUGUCCGAGGUUCAAUAUCCACUGCAAGCUGCAGGACAGCUGGGCACCCAAGACAACAGCUACUGAGCGGCUCCAGUGAGGAAGGCGCCCCCGAAACUGCCCAGGGAAUACAAAGCCUUCCAGGAUGAAGAAACUCCCCAAACUGUCCAGUGAAUAAAUAGCCUCCCAGGAGAAAAGUACCCCCAAAACUGUCCAGGGUAUUCCUGGUAUAGCCUGCCGGGAAUAAGAACAAUGAGAGCUCAGUUUCAAGUGUUUUAAGUUUUUGCAUUUAGUAGACAUAAGCUAAAAAUCGGCCAUAGAUGCAGAAUUCUCAAACUGAACUACGUAUACAACAUCUCCCUUUCCCCAAUAGGCACUAGAACUGGAGGGUUACAUCCCCAUACCGUGGCUGCCUCCCCAGGUUUUAAGAACAACGCUGUGGGUCUAACUAAAUGUGUCCACCAGUGAGUUCUCCAUAAAUUAUCUGCUAUUAGAUGCUAUUAGAUAUAAUUAGCUGAUGUAUUUACUAAGAUGGCAUAAACUCUGUCUCUCUUUCUCUGUCUCUGUCUCUGUCUCUGUCUCUCUCUGUCUCUGUCUCUCUCUCUCUCUCUCUCUCUCUCUCUCUCUCACACACACACACACACACACACACACACACACACAUAUCAGUAGCUACAAAACAUUCUCCUUCCUCCCAGCUCCCUCCCCCAUAAAUCAGGAGGCACUUCACUUCUGGUGAAGGUCAAAGAAGGAAGAAACUAAAGUGAUUUUGUCACUGAAAUAUAUCACAGAAUAUGUACACCUGUACCAAAAGAAGAAAUAGAUAAGGAUUUGGGGAAACAGACCAUAAAACUGAAAACUAAGAGAAAUUAACAAGGGGAAAUUCUAUCCUGGAACUGAUAAUAACUCAGAGGAAUUGAUUACUGGAAUUGAAACGAUGGAAACCCUGUGAGGAAGUAACCGCUCCAUUCUAGAGUCUGUAAUAAAGAAGCACUCUCAGGUCAAGGAGAAAAUAUUGCAAGCUGCCAAAAAGAAAGAAU